rnacentral:misc_RNA from 1 species
GAAAUGCGAUAAGUAGUGUGAAUUGCAGAAUUCAGUGAAUCAUCGAAUCUUUGAACGCACAUUGCGCCCCUCGGCAUUCCGUGGGGCAUGCCUGUUCGAGCGUCAUCUACACCCUCAAGCUCUGCUUGGUGUUGGGCGUCUGUCCCGCCUCCGCGCGCGGACUCGCCCCAAAUGCAUUGGCAGCGGUUCCUUGCCCCCCUCUUUGCGCAGCACAUUGCCAUUCGAGGCGGCGGCGGCCCACGUCCAACAAGCUCAACCCCCCCGUCUUUGACCUCGGAUCAGGUAGGGAUACCCGCUGAACUUAAGC